ensembl:lncRNA
AGCAGCUGACAAGCCAUACCCAGCCUUAAGACCAACAGGCUGAACAGACCCCAGCUCUGUGUUCUGUUCUCAGUCAUGGCUCAGCACCCAACCCAGAGGCCUGAGCUCCUUCAGACACCUUCAGCUGUGCACUCUUUCAUGGAACCAAUAGUCAUGGAAGAUGAUUUUUCUGUCUAGUUCAACACUUAGUUUCCUGCUGAAGACCAAGGCGUGGAAGCACCACAGAACAGUGCAACUCACUUCGAUGCCCUGAAGAGGAAUAAACAUGUACAUUUCAACUAGAAGCCAUCAGUCCUUUCAAGCUCUGUCUGUCUGUCAUGUGCAGAUGACCAGGGGAAGGGUCCUCAGGGGAGUACUCUGACAAUGGCCA